AACAGUGUUUUAAGCACAGUUCUUGAGGAGCUCACAAUAUCUACCACUGGAGAUUGCAAUCUUAGGCUGUAUUCAGUGCAGGAAAAUAAAGUAGUACUCCCUUAUGCUGCUUGACACAAGGACUCGUCAUAUAAAAUGGAUGGGAAGUGUCGCCAGAAUGAAGAGUGCUGCACAGGCAAUUAAUUGAUGUCCUAGUAUGGAGAUGCACUCAAAACCAAUAAACAGCAUUAUGGAUUCAGACUGUGAGAACAGCAUCAUAAACAAGCUUCCAGAAUAAUGAUUUGUUUCCACAAAGAGCCAGACCAUGGGGAAAUGUCAUAAAAUGAGAUGAAGACACGGUCCGAACUCUAACUGGCGAUUAUUUUCCCAAAUUGGCACUCUGAGCCAUCAAACAGUAUCUUCAGAUGCUGUUUAAAUAUGACAAUAUUGAUCUGCAAGAGAGACUCAGCAAAAGGCCGUUUCAUCACAGCAAGGUAGAGGAUACUGAAUUAUUCAGUGGCUUUGUUCAUAUGAAGCUGCUCCUGCCAUCCAUGUCUUCCCUGCCAGUUGCCAGAUGAAAAAGAGGUUUCCACACACACCAGUAUUUAUUUGUUCUGCUGUGCUGUG